rnacentral:rRNA from 1 species
UGGGGAAUAUUGCACAAUGGGCGCAAGCCUGAUGCAGCCAUGCCGCGUGUAUGAAGAAGGCCUUCGGGUUGUAAAGUACUUUCAGCGGGGAGGAAGGGAGUAAAGUUAAUACCUUUGCUCAUUAACGUUACCCGCAGAAGAAGCACCGGCUAACUCCGUGCCAGCAGCCGCGGUAAUACGGAGGGUGCAAGCGUUAAUCGGAAUUACUGGGCGUAAAGCGCCCGCAGGCGGUUUGUUAAGUCAGAUGUGAAAUCCCCGGGCUCAACCUGGGAACUGCAUCUGAUACUGGCAAGCUUGAGUCUCGUAGAGGGGGGUAGAAUUCCAGGUGUAGCGGUGAAAUGCGUAGAGAUCUGGAGGAAUACCGGUGGCGAAGGCGGCCCCCUGGACGAAGACUGACGCUCAGGUGCGAAAGCGUGGGGAGCAAACAGG